rnacentral:rRNA from 1 species
AUUGAACGCUGGCGGCAAGCUUUACACAUGCAAGUCGAACGGUAACAGGCCGCAAGGUGCUGACGAGUGGCGAACGGGUGAGUAAUGCAUCGGAACGUGCCCAGUCGUGGGGGAUAACGCAGCGAAAGCUGCGCUAAUACCGCAUACGAUCUAUGGAUGAAAGCGGGGGACCGUAAGGCCUCGCGCGAUUGGAGCGGCCGAUGUCAGAUUAGGUAGUUGGUGGGGUAAAGGCUCACCAAGCCAACGAUCUGUAGCUGGUCUGAGAGGACGACCAGCCACACUGGGACUGAGACACGGCCCAGACUCCUACGGGAGGCAGCAGUGGGGAAUUUUGGACAAUGGGCGCAAGCCUGAUCCAGCAGUGCCGCGUGCAGGAAGAAGGCCUUCGGGUUGUAAACUGCUUUUGUACGGAACGAAACGGUCCUGGUUAAUACCUGGGGCUAAUGACGGUACCGUAAGAAUAAGCACUGGCUAACUACGUGCCAGCAGCCGCCGUAAAAC